CUACGGGAGGCAGCAGGGAAGAAUAUUGUACAAUGGGGGCAACCCUGAUACAGCAACGCCGCGUGAAGGAAGAAGGCCUUCGGGUUGUAAACUUCUGUGACAGAGGACGAAGAAGAUGACGGUACUCUGAGAGGAAGCUCCGGCAAACUACGUGCCAGCAGCCGCGGUAAUACGUAGGGGGGCGAGCGUUGUCCGGAAUCACUGGGCGUAAAGGGCGCGUAGGCGGCCAUAUAAGUUGAAUGUGAAAUCCCAGGGCUCAACCCUGGACGUGCAUUCAAAACUGUAUGGCUUGAGUAUGGUAGAGGUAAGUGGAAUUCCUAGUGUAGCGGUGGAAUGCGUAGAUAUUAGGAGGAACACCAGUGGCGAAGGCGACUUACUGGGCCAAAACUGACGCUGAGGCGCGAAAGCGUGGGGAGCAAACAGGAUUAGAUACCCUCGUAGUC
rnacentral:rRNA from 1 species